AUGAGGGAGGGCAACGCUGCCACCACCGGCGUGGUGCGCGUGGAAGGCAUGGAGGUGGAAGUUUUCAAGGCGCUGCUCGACUUCGCGUACACGGGCCGUCUGCCGCAACCGUCCAAGGAAGACGACGAGGUCACGUGUCAGCGUCUUCUAGUCGCGGCAGACAGGUACGACAUCGUGCAGCUGAAGCUAUUGUGCGAGGAGUGGAUGUGCAAGUACAUAGAUGUGGGCACUGCCGCGACCAUCCUCACGCUAGCCGAGCAAAAUCACUGCGAGGGGCUCAAAAAGGCAUGCUUCGAUUUUCUCGCUGCUCAGGAAACUAAGGGUGGUCAUGGCCACCUGUUAGAGGAAUAG
rnacentral:rRNA from 1 species